UCACCCCUACGGGAGGCAGCAGUGAGGAAUAUUGGUCAAUGGGCGAGAGCCUGAACCAGCCAAGUCGCGUGAAGGAUGACGGCCCUACGGGUUGUAAACUUCUUUUGUCAGGGAGCAAUUGAGUCCACGUGUGGGCUUAGCGAGAGUACCUGAAGAAAAAGCAUCGGCUAACUCCGUGCCAGCAGCCGCGGUAAUACGGAGGAUGCGAGCGUUAUCCGGAUUUAUUGGGUUUAAAGGGUGCGCAGGCGGAAGCGCAAGUCAGCGGUAAAAUUGAGAGGCUCAACCUCUUCCCGCCGUUGAAACGG
rnacentral:rRNA from 1 species